GACGAACGCUGGCGGCGUGCUUAACACAUGCAAGUCGAACGGAAAGGCCCUGCUUUUGUGGGGUGCUCGAGUGGCGAACGGGUGAGUAACACGUGAGUAACCUGCCCUUGACUUUGGGAUAACUUCAGGAAACUGGGGCUAAUAUCGGAUAGGAGCUCCUGCUCCAUGGGGGGGGAUGGAAAGUUUCGGCGGUUGGGGAUGGACUCGCGGGUUAUCAGCUUGUUGGUGGGGUAGUGGCUUACCAAGGCUUUGACGGGUAGCCGGCCUGAGAGGGUGACCGGCCACAUUGGGACUGAGAUACGGCCCAGACUCCUACGGGAGGCAGCAGUGGGGAAUAUUGCACAAUGGGCGGAAGCCUGAUGCAGCAACGCCGCGUGCGGGAUGACGGCUUUCGGGUUGUAAACCGCUUUCGCCUGUGACGAAGCGUGAGUGACGGUAAUGAGUAAAGAAGCACCGGCUAACUACGUG
rnacentral:rRNA from 1 species